CUCCAGAAAACAGGUUUCAUUUCAUAGGCUUGCUGGUUCAAUCUGUUCCUGCCAAAGAGUCAUUUUUAAGGCACGUGAGUGAACACUGCAGAACAAGUAUUGUAUUCCAGCUGCAGGAAUACCAGCCUUUAUUAGACAGAUGGGACUGAACACACAGGUCUGGAACUUCUUUUGGAAACUUGCUGUGUGAGGCAGAAGCUCUAGACCAAGAGCAUUUUGCAGGCUGAAUCCAAAGAGAUGUUUUGAAUGAGCAGUGGUGUUUUUUAUUUUUUUUUGUCACAGCUCUCUACUGCAUUGGAAAAGAUAGAGUUCAGAAUACAGGUAAGGUUGUUAGUCUAAAUAGCACCUGAUAAAGGAAAAUCUAUUUUUUUGUUGAACAUUUAUUACAACAAACACCAACUGUUCAAAUCCCUAUAUUUUCUAAUAAAUCCUUUGUUGGUGUUGAAGUUCAAACUUGGAGCAAAUGCAGAUGCAAAGAAAUUAUGUAUUUGGGGAUUUUUUUGGAACUAUAAUCUUGUCAGAACAGAUUAUCAAAUGAUCAAAGCAGCAGCAGGAUGAAUUGGGGUUUAAACGUUUAUGGAAAAGCAGUUAUAUUGUAGGAUCACACUUUUUAAUAGACUAAAGGCAUUAAACAGACCUUGUAUUAGACUUUGAAAUUAAUGGGUCACUGUAUAACAUUCCAGUCUUCAUAGAUUGAUAAGAUUAAUGCUUGCUUAUAUAGCAAAUUCAAUGGCUCAUUUAAUUUCAUAUGAAUGUUUAAAGUUAAAUUGCUUUUGGAUUAAGUCUAAACUCAUUAUUAAUUUUAAUGUCUGAAAGAACUUCCAUUUUUCUUUCAUUUUAUUUAAUCAAGUGCAUCAUCAUUAAGUAAAGGCUAUGAACUUAGAUAGUGGAGAAAUAAGGAAGUUUAUUAAUUUAGUUUUAAAAAGAUCUAUUUGUUAAAGUUUAAUUCAGUGACCAUUUUAGGUUCAAUAAGAAGAUGGGAAAAAUAGUGACUGCAGCCUAUUCACUUUUCCUGAAAUAAUGUUAGAGGGAGAGGGCGCUUUUGGGCAACCUGUUUGCAGCACAUUCUGAGAAUUUCAAAGGUAAAUUUUGUAUUCACAUCUCUUUUGCGUUUUGAAAGACUGAUCCUCCUUCAUUGUAACUCAGUGAGACUUUUGCUAACACCUGGCUCACAGUGGCUGUGAAUUAAUUGAUUUCAGUGAAUACACACCAGUUUACAUCAGGUAAGGCCCUGACUCUUCACUGUCCACUGAUGUACUGGAGCACACGGCUGAGAAAAGACUUUUCCUUUAUACUGCAUUAAACUUCAGGGGUCUGAGUGCUGAGUAAAACCUACAGGACACUUUCAGAUGGAAGAAGACACAGUAAGUCACUUAUCAAGAGAAACCACGCCUGGGUUUGUGCUGUCAGUCCAUGCAGAGUGCCCUCUAUUACCAUACACAGUCACUUCUAUCACACAAUUAGACACUGUGCACUAAUUACAGGUUCCAGAAUAAAUAUCUCUUUAAAAACAUUCACGCAUCCUCUUAUUAUGUAAAACUUAAUGCAUUUGAUGAGGAGCAAGGCUGAGGGACCACAAAACCCCUCUCUGGGAUUUACCUGGAACUAUCAGAGUUUAAGAGUGUUAGCUAAUGAAUUAUUCAAAGUGAAUUAAUAGCUUGGGAGAGUCCUUCACCUGUCUGACACAGCUUCAUUUUCCCUAGAUAAGGUUUCUCAGCAGAGUCAGACAUUGGCAAACAACUUGGUUUUCCCUCUUUAAUGUACGUGUGAAAACAUGCACAACAGACAAUGAAAAAUGUAUUUCCUUGCAUAAUAAUCAUGAUUUCAUCUAGCUGUAAUGCGAUUUAAAGAUGGACCUUUGAAGGCUUUGUGGUGGAGAUACAAUCACCAGCUGAUAACCUGAUCAUAUCCAAAACCCAGGACAGAAACAAAACCCAGGGCAAAACCAGGCUGCUGCACCCAACUGAGUGCUCUGUUCUCUAGGCACUAUUGCUGGUUUGCUCAGAAAGCAAGCACAGCUUUCCAUAGAGUAUGAGAUAAAAAUUUUAAGUUAAUUUUCCUUAUCAAUUGUAUAUAAAAUGCAUUUUUUAAUGAGAAGAAAUAUUGUGCUGUAUUUGUCAGUUCUUUCCCACUGAAUGUCUUAUUCAGGAGCUGAAGAACAGUUUGCCUGUUGUAGUGCUGCUGUCUUCUAUUUAUUUAUGGGUUUAUUUAAUUAAGAAGAGGAACCUACUUUUCUUUAUAACUGACUUUGCAUGGUGUGUCUAAUGCCAGUAUCUCAUAGUUUGCAAAUGGUGUGAGUCUGUGUGCAUGGGCACACACACCUACAAAGAAUUGCAGCUUCAUGGCUUAGUUUGUGAUUUACUGUAAAUUGUUAAGCACUUCUAAAUCAAAACACUCUCUUAUAAUGCUUUUUACAGUAUUUGAAUUAGUGCUAAUCAUAUAGUAACAGAAUAAAUUCAAAUCAGGUCUAUGUCCUCUUCCUGGAUGUGUCUUUAUAUAAGAAAACAGAAAACCAUUCCCAGAUCUUCUAGUAACCUGUCACCAAAAUGGGAAGUUUCAAACUCAGUAAUGACUUUCACUCCAUGCUGAGUCAGGGACAAAUGAAAUUAAGAUUUCUCCCCCUUCACCUCAAAUGUCAGCCGUGUGGAACACAGGAAUAUGAGAUGGGUUUUAUGGUGUGCUGCUCCUCCUGCGUUCCCUGAGAAGCCACAGGAGUUAUUGCUGUGCUUUCCCUUCCGUCUCACAUGAUGGGCAGCAAACUGACCUGCCAUCAGGGUGGUGGAAUUUGUUGCUGCCUUUGGUUUACAGCAAAUUACUGCUGCCCUGAAGCAAAGGAGGAGCACAGAGGGAGUACAUGUCCCUGAGGCACAUCUCCUUUGAGGUUAUUCCAGGGGGGACAGCAGUAGUUCAUGCCUUUUUUUUUUUUUUUGAUCAACAACUAUCUUUGAAAAUAAAUCUUCUCAAGAGUCCCAGGAGAUUUGAUACAGCCCCUCAAUCACUAACAACUCUCAGGGGAUGCUGCUGCAGAACAUCCAAUCCUCUCACUCCCCUUUCUCCUCUGGGGAAGGCCGGUUACAGCUGGGGUUAAAGCAGACAGCAAGAUGGGAAAAGAAUAUGGACUGUGGGCUGGAAUAAUGAAAAUAGUAAUAUAACAUGGCAUCAGUAGUGACAUGGAGGCUGAAAGAGCAGCAGUGCUGUAGAGAUCAAAGCAGUGGGGAACAGUUCUUUGUACUAUUAAUAUCUCCCAUAUUUUUAAGUGGAGAAGAAAUGUAAAAGCAAACUGUGUACUGUUUUCCCUCAGGCCACCACCAUUAGAGGCACUUGAUAAGCCUGGCAAGCUCCUACAGAAGGACAGCAGCCCACUGGAGUAUUGAGUAUAGCAUGUACUAUCUAAAAAGCUAACAUGACAGAUACAAGGCAAGGCAAGCAUUCAAUUUGGGCUAUCAUGAAAAGAAAGAAAGCCAAGAAAAGAAUCUUUAGUGACAGUUCACUGAGGAAAUGGCUCUGCUGUGUCUGGGAGCUUAGCCCUGAGCCAGGAGAGUGCCAGUGCUCUGUGCCAGUGUGCAGGGACGGGACACAGUCCUUAUCAGGAGCAGGCUGGGGAAACAGAGACCUUCCCAAGAUUUUUGUCAGGUCUUUACUUUCUCUCCUCCUUAUUCUUGAUGAAUAACUCUUAAGGCAUCUGUCUUUUAUUUUUAGGUGGACCAAAAAGGAACUGCAUCCUUCUUGUUACUGCCUUUCACUGUUAGACCAGAGACACGUCACGUGUACAGGACCAACCUUCACCUGGUGGCAUGUUUUCUUCCAUAAGGGUGCACUGUAGGUCUUGUUAACCCACAGAAGAGACAAUUUUCUUGCCUGUGCAGGGAAUCAAGUGACUUUUUAAAAACCAAGUAAUUUGCAAAAAGGGAUUAAGAGUUAACAUGGGUGUCUAGAAAUGGUACAGGGCAAGGAGUGGGGUCAUCUGGUUUGUUUUACCCUUACGGUCCUUAUUUCCCUCCCUCUCUUUCCAUACUUUCUGUAUUUUAUGUAUUUCCCUCUGGGGCUUCAAGGUCUUUGGAGGUGGAACUGUCUCCCCAUAACUCAGCAGGGCUCUGGGAGGAGGAGGUUUGACCAUGGUUGUAUCCAUGGUUAACAUCAGAGCACAAAUCAUAAUUUUAGAAGCCGGAUUACUGAGUGAAACACUUACCAAAGAAGACAGUGGAUAUUGUAAGAGCAAUGCACUGCCUGCUUGACAGAGAUUGAAUAUAAAUGUAUCCUUAGAUUAUAAGCAAAAGAGCUGGUUUAAUUUAUUUCCAACAAAAUAAACUUUUAUGACAAUAUCAGUGAAA